UACGAAGGGGGCUAGCGUUGCUCGGAAUGACUGGGCGUAAAGAGCGUGUAGGCGGCUGGGUAGGUCCGCUGUGAAAACUCGAGGCUUAACCUCGAGACGUCGGUGGAAACCAUCCAGCUAGAGUCCGGAAGAGGAGAGUGGAAUUCCUGGUGUAGCGGUGAAAUGCGCAGAUAUCAGGAAGAACACCCGUGGCGAAAGCGGCUCCUCGUGGGACGGUGAC
rnacentral:rRNA from 1 species